GGACUACACGGGUAUCUAAUCCUGUUCGCUCCCCUGGCUUUCGCGCCUCAGCGUCAGAUGCCAGCCAGGACACUGCCUUCGCCUUUGGUCUUCCUCCGGAUAUCUACGCAUUUCACCACUCCACCCGGAAUUCGAUGUCCCUCUCUGGCCCUCAAGUCCGGCAGUUUUUGAAGCCCCUCCCCAGUUGAGCCGGGGAUUGUCACUCCAAACUUUCCGCACCGCCUGCACGCCCUUUACGCCCAGUAACUCCGGACAACGCUCGCCCCCUACGUAUUACCGCGGCUGCUGGCAC
rnacentral:rRNA from 1 species